rnacentral:lncRNA from 1 species
GGUCGUUUAUGGGAACUUUAAUAUUUUAGCGCACAUUAACUGAACUUAGUUUAUUGCUUCUGAAAUCAAAGUGCUUAGAUUAUGUCUUCUUAACUAUGCAUUUACAUGUUGGAUGUUUUCCAUAAUAUUUAAAAAUACAUGAUUUACAUUUAGCAUUGGGGCAGCAUUAUAACUUAUCUUUUUCCAAGUACGUAUAUUAUAUUGCCGAGUAAAUGUGCCCGAACAUCUUUUUUUAAGGAGUGGUUCAAUGUGUACCAUUUCCUUUAAAAUGUUUCUCAUUUCAUAUAAUACAAAUGUAAAAUAUAUUUAAGUGUUCAAACACAGCCAUCUUCUGUCGUCUUUUCGUCAUUUAUUGUCACUAAUAUAAAGGAAAGCUGGUGUAGAGAUGUCUGUACUCAGAACCAAAUAAUAUCACCUGGAGUGGGUUACCUACUCCAACAUUGUAUGGUUUGAAUUGUUUUAUUAAAUUGCAUAUUAUCAAAGUUUUAAAAAUCUCGAAGGAGUGCAGCACUCUAGAUAGAGUUUUUAUUGUCAAACUCUCUCCGUUAUGGGGGGGAGAGGGGUCCUUGUUGACAGUUGCAAACUGUACAACUUUAAUCAUUAACGCCUAGUCUGAUUUUAAACAGCAAUAAGUAGAAGGUAAAACCAACAAUACAAUCCAACAACAUGUGUGUAAAAAUGUCAUCAAUAAAACAGAUAUGAUUUAUGACAUCAUAAAUAAAACAAACAAAAGUGAUGGUUAAACAUGUGUCUAUAGGUAUGGUAUAGUAUGAAAAAAGCAUGUUAAUCACAGCUUUCUUUUAAAAAUCCAAAGCAUUCAUACAAAUGAUCACUAUUUAUGUAACGUGACGCAUAUGGUUAUACUAAAUGAAGACAUGCGUACGUGAUUUGCAUAUUUUAUGUGCUUGAUGGGUAAACGGCUAUUAAUGACUUGAUCAAUGUGUCACUAGUCUACCUUUUAGACUGAAAACUUUGAAUAUAGUGGGAAAAAAAAGCAUAUAAUCUAUACUUUAAAUUUCCACUUUAUACAGGCAGUCCAACAUAACUUGCCACAAGUCUAAAAUCGCCAACCUGUUUGCAAAUGAAUUUUGCCUCAUCCGUCUCUGCGAUCCUAGGAAGGGGCUCCAUCAUUUACAGGGAAUGUAUCACCUUUCUGCAACAAUGCUAUAUAACUAGGAUACCAUGAAACCUACCUUACCGUGAAAAUGUUUACUACUGUGGAUGCUGUAUAUUUUUUGAUACAAUAAAUUAGUGUCCUUUUUCUCACACACACAGGCAAGUUUACUCGACUCCUGCCACUGUGAUCACAAACCUUUUUUUCGAAUUGCCGGGAAGCAGACAGCGGUUUGCAUACAUUAUACUGAAUUGUGUGUCUUGGGCCUUAUAACCUAAUGCUGUAACUCUACACUUAACACCAGAAAAAUGUUAACUUUACACGGGCAAGCAUUUUUUUUCAACAAAAAACAUGGCAGCAACACCACUGCCAGCAGUAUCAAUGUAGGCAAAGUGUUUACUUUACCUAUUUAUACAGAAUUGCUUAAUAAUUAUAUUUUCCCUUUUUAAAGUGAGUGCGGACAUGUUGGACAAACGGUUUGCUACACAGACUAUUGUUUCAUAUGCCUUAAACAUAAGGUGCCGAGGCAUCACACCGCAAUGCCUGACAAUAAUUUGAAACAGUGUACGUAAUUUGCCUUUAUUUGUGUAAACAUACUGGCGUUGCUAUUUAAAGGGACACCAUUUUGUCUCUGGAGUGUAUAAAUAUAUUACACACUAUGUUUCAAAUGUGAUGCAUCAUGUUUUAUUUAGCAUCUUUACAUGUUUCUCAUUCUUGAUUUUGUAUCCUAUUUAGAGAGCUGUGUCUAGAAAGAGCAAACUGUAUACAAGGCUGUUACAGGAUGUAUAACAGUUAUGAAUAAAUUACAAAUAAACUUGGC